rnacentral:rRNA from 1 species
AGCGGCGGACGGGUGAGUAACGCGUGGGUAACCUGCCUCAUACGAGGGGAUAACAGUUGGAAACGGCUGCUAAUACCGCAUAAGCGCACAGUACCGCAUGGUACCGUGUGAAAAACUCCGGUGGUAUGAGAUGGACCCGCGUCUGAUUAGCUAGUUGGUGGGGUAACGGCCUACCAAGGCGACGAUCAGUAGCCGACCUGAGAGGGUGACCGGCCACAUUGGGACUGAGACACGGCCCAA